rnacentral:rRNA from 1 species
CAGCAGCCGCGGUAAUACGAAGGGGGCUAGCGUUGCUCGGAAUGACUGGGCGUAAAGGGCGCGUAGGCGGCGGCCAAAGUCAGGCGUGAAAUUCCUGGGCUCAACCUGGGGGCUGCGCUUGAUACUUGGUUGCUUGAGUGGGGAAGAGGGUCGUGGAAUUCCCAGUGUAGAGGUGAAAUUCGUAGAUAUUGGGAAGAACACCGGUGGCGAAGGCGGCGACCUGGUCCUUGACUGACGCUGAGGCGCGAAAGCGUGGGGAGCAAACAGGAUUAGAUACCCGUGUAGUCCCUGUCUCUUAUAA